CUAAUCUAUGCUGAGCCAAGAAGUUUCCUAGGCAACAUUUGUUCAGUCACUAUCUAGUAGCCUAACCCAAUUCACAGGAUUUUCGUGAGGUUAAAAAUGGUCAGACUGACAUGUAUGCUGCUUUUAAUUCAUUGUAAGAAAGAACUGCUGGAUGUGUCUCUCCAUGACAACAGAAUAUCCAGAUUUCAGGGAUCUUGUCGUCUGCGACUAUGGUUGGACAAAGAUCAGUGCUUUCACGAAAAUCAUUGAAAUUGUGUACUCCUACAGAACAUUUGAUACAGCCGCAUGCACUGAAACCAAUGGCUUUAGAAAAUACCUUGCUCUAUGAGUGGAUGUUUACCACAGAUUUGCAUAAAGAAAAUUCUGGAGACCAUUUGGAAUUUUCAUCUAAGGAAGUGUCACAGGAGACCAAAACAGUUUUGAGGACCUAUGGACUUUCUUCAGGCAUUGGAGGCCCCCCAGUUCCUUCAACAAGCAGCAAUCCCUAACUUAAUGGAGGCUGCUUUUGUUAUCAGCAGGGCUCUGGAAGUCUGGGGUAGCAUGGUGGCUUCCAUGUUAGGGCCACCUUCUUUAUUCCAAUGAGUUCUGCAUGGAAGGAGAUGCUUCUGGCACUUCCAGAGCUGAUAAAUCAGGUUGGCUGGUGAGUGGUGCUCAGCCUGGAAUGUAUAAAAAGGGCAGGUCUCAGCUAGCUGGCUUCUUUCAUCAUUGGAGCUUCAGCAAGAAGAAUCAAAUUGCCUUGAGAAGUGCAGAACAGAGCAAAGAUGAAGAGGCAGAAGAGGUGGAGAAGAGGCAGCGGCAGCAGUAGUAUGAGGACAGCGAGGAGAGAGCAGAGUUCACAGCAGUCCCAUACUCAAAGGAGCUGACAUCUCUCUCUCUCUCUCCCUCUCCCUCUCUCUCUCUCUCUCUCUCUUUCUUUCUACCCCACUCAUCUAGUAGCAAGCCACUACUCCUGAUGGCUGUGACAAAAAUAAACAUAAAACAAGAUAAUAAACA
rnacentral:lncRNA from 1 species